UACGGGGGGGGCAAGCGUUGUUCGGAAUUACUGGGCGUAAAGGGCGCGUAGGCGGUCCUACAAGUCCCUCGUGAAAUCCCACGGCUUAACCGUGGAACUGCGGGGGAUACUGCAGGACUUGAGUCCGGGAGAGGGGAGUGGAAUUCCCAGUGUAGCGGUGAAAUGCGUAGAUACUGGGAGGAACACCGGUGGCGAAGGCGGCUCCCUGGACCGGUACUGACGCUGAGGCGCGAAAGCUAGGGGAGCAAACGGG
rnacentral:rRNA from 1 species